rnacentral:rRNA from 1 species
GCCUGAUCAGGUUGAAGUCAGGGGAAACCCUGAUGGAAGACCGAAGCAGUUCUGACGUGCAAAUCGAUUGUCAGAAUUGGGCAUAGGGGCGAAAGACCAAUCGAACCAUCUAGUAGCUGGUUCCCUCCGAAGUUUCCCUCAGGAUAGCUGGUGCAUAUACCGUUUCAAUAAACUUAAUAAAUCUUAUCUGGUAAAGCGAAUGAUUAGAGGCAUUAGGUUCGAAACGUUCUUAACCUAUUCUCAAACUAUAAAUGGGUACGAUAUAUAAGUUUCUUGAUUGAACUUAUAUUUCACGCUUUUGGCGUACCAUAUCAAACAUUUUGGUGUUUGUAAUUUGGUUUAGAUUUAUUGUGCCCAGUGGGCCAAG